AUGAAGGAGAAGCUGGAGGAGAUGAACAGACACAUCUCAGCUCUUUCACACACAAUCAAAGACACGGAGGAGAUGAUGAGAGCCAGUGACGUCUGCUUUCUGAAGGAGUUUCCAGUCUCAAUGGAAAGAGUCCAGAUCUCAUCACAGCUGGAUCCACAGACGCCUUCUGGAGCUUUGAUUCAUGUGCCACAUUACUUG